GAUCAUGGCUCAGGAUGAACGCUGGCGGCGUGCCUAACACAUUCAAGUCGAACGGUGAAGGGACUUCGGUCCCGGAUCAGUGGCGGACGGGUGAGUAACGCGUGAGCAACCUGCCUUUGCUUGGGGGAUAACGUUUGGAAACGAACGCUAAUACCGCAUAAAACAGCAUUCCGGCAUCGGAAAACUGUCAAAGAUUUAUUGAGCAAAGAUGGGCUCGCGUCCGAUUAGAUAGUUGGUGAGGUAACGGCU
rnacentral:rRNA from 1 species